UUUUCUCUUCUUUAUCAAUUACAAUGCGUCAUCUUCAUGAUCACUUAGGUUUGGACCUUUGAGAUUAACAAAUUUUUCCAAAUACAAACUUACUGUAUUAUCUCCGGUAUAUCCCGUUAAAAACUUUUAUGACCAGUUUGCAAUUGACUUGAUGUAAUGGAGAAAGCUCGAUGAUGUACAUUUAGGUAAUUUACUGCACCAUAAAACAGUUAAAUUCAAGCAAGAACCUCUCUGGCUUAAUGAUUAGACUACCCCUAUCAUAUCUUUUACAUAUACCACACAUCUUGUAAGCAAACAAUUAUUUUAACACGAGUUACAUGUACUUACUGAUCAUUAUAUUAACAAAUUCAAGUUUAAACAUCCUGAUUGGACCUAUGCUAGUUCACCACUUAUAUAUAAUUCGAUAAACAACCAUACUUCACUGGGAAAAUGUUUAUUCAAACUGAAAGAACCGAUAUAUGGUGUGCCUUUAUUUUCAUAAAUGGAUACCACAACACGAAAACACUAUGUAUGCCAGGCAAUGGACUUACCGCAAAAAGAAAAAGAUGUUGAUACUCUUUCUGAAUAAAAUAAAACUGUAUUAUACUGCCGUUGUGAUAAUUAGACAAAGAAAAAAAACAUUGAAUAGUUCUAUGACCCUUCAUGCUACAUUAUUUUUGAAAGACCAAAUGUAAGUAAGCACAUUUCUGACCCCAGGAAAAAUACAUUGUUGUGUUAGGUUUGGUGGAAUAUCAUUUCACUUGGGGUAGCAAUACACAGUUAGAAGUUUAGUUUCGAUGGCCCCUGUGAGUUUUUUAAAUAUGAAAGUUUUUGUACAAUAAAAUUGAUUUUUAGAUAAUUGAAGAAUACUAUGCAUAUGAUUUUUUUUACCACUUCAUAGAUAUAAACCUAUGGUUUCAGGAAAGGUAUCACUGUAAUUGAUUGAAAUUUUACUUUGGACCAAAUUUUGGAGACUUUUGUGACAUGUUCACUCCCCUUUUUUGCUAUAUUUUGUAUCAAAGAAAUGCAGAUUGUUGCCAUGGUUACACCCAAAAGGGGAUAUAUUUCACCAUUAUGACCAUUAGAAAUCAAAUCUAUGGAAGAUUCUCUUUCUAUAGA
rnacentral:lncRNA from 1 species